UACGUAGGGAGCAAGCGUUGUCCGGAAUCAUUGGGCGUAAAGCGCGCGUAGGCGGCUCGAUAAGUCCGCUGUAAAAGUCAACGGCUCAACUGUUGAAAGCCGGUGGAUACUGUCGGGCUAGAGUACGGAAGAGGCAAGUGGAAUUCCUGGUGUAGCGGUGGAAUGCGCAGAUAUCAGGAGGAACACCAAUAGCGAAGGCAGCUUGCUGGGACGUUACUGACGCUAAGGCGCGAAAGCGUGGGGAGCGAACAGG
rnacentral:rRNA from 1 species